rnacentral:tRNA from 1 species
GGAGAGGUGGCUGAGUGGUUAAAAGCAUUGGUUUGCUAAAUCAACAUACUAUUUUAGUAUCAUGGGUUCAAAUCCCAUUCUCUCCU